AGGUGACUGCGAUAUGCGUGUGGUCAUACUAUAUCCCAGGGGCGAUAAUUAUUAUCUCGGGAGCUGUCACUGAUAGGGCCGUGGCCCUGUUAUUAACGGCGCCCACCUAGUGGUUUGGCCGCUAGUGGAUAAGACAGACAGUACGGUACUUGUGGUGCCUCU
rnacentral:other from 3 species